rnacentral:lncRNA from 1 species
CCGCGGCCUGCGUCUCCUUCUUUCGUCCGCUCUGCCCUCCCCGGCACACUCGGGCUCAGCUCAUACGGAAGGUUCCCUCCUCCGGCGGUCUAGGAUGGAGAGAAUGGAACUCCCCUGAUCGGAAUCUCCGACGGAGGAGAGGGAACCCGUACACUCGGAGAGCGGGGUUCAAGAACAAGAUCAACACGAACUUCUUAGCCGAAUCUAUCCGGUCGUUGGCCUUCUUCCCCAGUCAAAACGGC